UCUGGAAUAAGAUCAUAAAUAAAGCCCUAUAUAGAGUGUAAACAACAAAAAAUAAUGUAUGAAAUCAUUGUUUAUUACAUCUGCUUGCAUAAUAAUAUUGAAGUUGAAACUAACAACGAUCACGUGUAUCCUGUCAACCCCUGAAAAACAUAAUAUUGUCUUCUUGACUACUUCUGCAAACCGUGGUCUGGUAAAAUGAUAUAUUGUUAUAGUGUAUGUUAA
rnacentral:lncRNA from 1 species